ACUUAAAUUGAAGAGUUUGAUCAUGGCUCAGAUUGAACGCUGGCGGCAGGCCUAACACAUGCAAGUCGAGCGGUAGCACAGAGAGCUUGCUCUCGGGUGACGAGCGGCGGACGGGUGAGUAAUGUCUGGGAAACUGCCUGAUGGAGGGGGAUAACUACUGGAAACGGUAGCUAAUACCGCAUAACGUCGCAAGACCAAAGUGGGGGACCUUCGGGCCUCAUGCCAUCAGAUGUGCCCAGAUGGGAUUAGCUAGUAGGUGGGGUAACGGCUCACCUAGGCGACGAUCCCUAGCUGGUCUGAGAGGAUGACCAGCCACACUGGAACUGAGACACGGUCCAGACUCCUACGGGAGGCAGCAGUGGGGAAUAUUGCACAAUGGGCGCAAGCCUGAUGCAGCCAUGCCGCGUGUGUGAAGAAGGCCUUCGGGUUGUAAAGCACUUUCAGCGGGGAGGAAGGCGGUGAGGUUAAUAACCUCACCGAUUGACGUUACCCGCAGAAGAAGCACCGGCUAACUCCGUGCCAGCAGCCGCGGUAAUACGGAGGGUGCAAGCGUUAAUCGGAAUUACUGGGCGUAAAGCGCACGCAGGCGGUCUGUCAAGUCGGAUGUGAAAUCCCCGGGCUCAACCUGGGAACUGCAUUCGAAACUGGCAGGCUAGAGUCUUGUAGAGGGGGGUAGAAUUCCAGGUGUAGCGGUGAAAUGCGUAGAGAUCUGGAGGAAUACCGGUGGCGAAGGCGGCCCCCUGGACAAAGACUGACGCUCAGGUGCGAAAGCGUGGGGAGCAAACAGGAUUAGAUACCCUGGUAGUCCACGCCGUAAACGAUGUCGAUUUGGAGGUUGUGCCCUUGAGGCGUGGCUUCCGGAGCUAACGCGUUAAAUCGACCGCCUGGGGAGUACGGCCGCAAGGUUAAAACUCAAAUGAAUUGACGGGGGCCCGCACAAGCGGUGGAGCAUGUGGUUUAAUUCGAUGCAACGCGAAGAACCUUACCUGGUCUUGACAUCCACAGAACUUUCCAGAGAUGGAUUGGUGCCUUCGGGAACUGUGAGACAGGUGCUGCAUGGCUGUCGUCAGCUCGUGUUGUGAAAUGUUGGGUUAAGUCCCGCAACGAGCGCAACCCUUAUCCUUUGUUGCCAGCGGUUAGGCCGGGAACUCAAAGGAGACUGCCAGUGAUAAACUGGAGGAAGGUGGGGAUGACGUCAAGUCAUCAUGGCCCUUACGACCAGGGCUACACACGUGCUACAAUGGCAUAUACAAAGAGAAGCGACCUCGCGAGAGCAAGCGGACCUCAUAAAGUAUGUCGUAGUCCGGAUUGGAGUCUGCAACUCGACUCCAUGAAGUCGGAAUCGCUAGUAAUCGUAGAUCAGAAUGCUACGGUGAAUACGUUCCCGGGCCUUGUACACACCGCCCGUCACACCAUGGGAGUGGGUUGCAAAAGAAGUAGGUAGCUUAACCUUCGGGAGGGCGCUUACCACUUUGUGAUUCAUGACUGGGGUGAAGUCGUAACAAGGUAACCGUAGGGGAACCUGCGGUUGGAUCACCUCCUUACCUUAAAGAA
rnacentral:rRNA from 2 species